rnacentral:tRNA from 1 species
CGGGGCGUGGCGCAGCCCGGUAGCGCAUCGCGGAAUUAACGCGAGGGUCGGAGGUUCGAAUCCUCCCGCUUCGA